GUAUCUGUAGCUCAGUUGGAUAGAGCAACUCCCUCCUAAGGAGUAGGUCAUGAGUUCAACUCUCGUCAGGUACA
rnacentral:tRNA from 1 species